rnacentral:rRNA from 1 species
AACUACCUACGGGGCGCAGCAGUAGGGAAUCUUCCACAAUGGGCGAAAGCCUGAUGGAGCAACGCCGCGUGGGAGAAGAAGGUCUUCGGAUCGUAAAACCCUGUUGUUAGAGAAGAAAGUGCGUGAGAGUAACUGUUCACGUUUCGACGGUAUCUAACCAGAAAGCCACGGCUAACUACGUGCCAGCAGCCGCGGUAAUACGUAGGUGGCAAGCGUUAUCGGGAUUUAUUGGGCGUAAAGGGAACGCAGGAGGGCUUUUAAGUCUGAUGUGAAAGCCUUCGGCUUAACCGGAGGAGUGCAU